ensembl:lncRNA
GAUUUUCCAAAGCGAGAAACAAAAUGGCGGACAGUGCAGCCGAUUUUUCCUUUCCAGGGGGCGGAGCUUGAGGAGAAAACACGACUAACAUGUGAGUGAGCGCUUUGUUUAGACCCCCAAAAUGGCGGAUCGGGCCAAAAUCCUUUCCACGCCCACCCCCGUGACAUCACACUCCAAAGCCCUAUGACAUCAUAUAGAUCAAAGGCAUGUGAUCCAUUCAAAAGGUAUAAAUAGGGGUGAGAACUGCAAACUUUUAGUCAGUUUAUUCGCAGCACUCAUGUUCGCAGCAUUCAAACAUAAACCUGAGAAACAUUUUGAAACAGUUGGAUCAUUUACACAGUUGUUUUACUAAGAUUCCAACAUGUCUCAGAGAAAACACAGCAAAAAACAACAAGCUUACGCUGGCCCUGUGCUCGAGGGUCCAUCCAUCCAAAGGGCAUUAGCUGAAAGUAGGCAGGAAAACCAAAAUCUACACAACAUGAUUAAACAAAUCCAGGCAGAGAAAAUUCAGCUUGUAGAGAAGUGCAGACACAUGGAGGCCCUAAAUAACCAGUUGGAAGAAAGGCAUAAUGAAUUUGUCAAGAACCAACGAGAAAAAGAAAAUCAUCGAAGGCAGCCCAAUGUGGAUAAUAUAAAUGAAGGCUGGAAAAUACUAUUUAAUCGAGCACAGGAGAAGAUUUUAAACUUGAUGACAGAAAACAAACACAACUGUGCUGAAUUAAGACAAAUGUCCCAUCUGCUUGAAGAAAAAGAAGAUAUUAAUCAGGAGCUCUGUGGGAAACUGGAAGACACUGAGUUUAAGAACCUGGAGAUGGAAGCAAAACUUGAUGAAGCCCAGGAAAAAAACAAAGAGUUGCUUCAAGAGAAGAAACAACAGGAAAGAAAGGAGAAAAAAAUGGAAUGUAAACUUCAGACCAUGAAGAAACAAAACAAAGUCUUGCAAGUAAAGCUUAACGAAGCACUGCACAGAAAUGCAGAAAUGUUUCACGAUGAAAGUCUCAUAAACCAGCAAGACGAAGAAAAUAAAAAUACACAAAACCUGCCCAGUGUAGAUAAGGGCUGGGAAAUAAUCUUUAUUGAAGAUCCGCAGCAUAUUGCAAGCCUGAUGACAACAAACAAGCAGAACUGCGACCAGUUAAGAAAAAUGUCCUACCAGCUUCAACAAACAGAAGCUAUUAAUCAGGAGCUCUAUGGGAAUCUCAAAGACACUGAGAACAAGAAUCUGCAGCUUCACCUAAAACUUGAUGAAGCCCUGGAGAAAAACAAAGAGUUUCUUCAAGAGAAACAGCAACAGGAAAAAAUGCAGAAAAAGACACAAGUUAUUCUCCAAGACUUAGAAAGGAAAAAUCUACAGCUACACGCAUGUUCUAAUGAAAUGAAGGAGAAAAUCAUGGAACUAGAAGGAGAAAGGGAAAAACUGAUAAAACAACACUCAGGCGCGCAGCACAUUUGCAAUGAAAUGCUAAGCAAGAACUCAGAGCUUGUGGAACUUUGUAACAUCUUAAAAUACAAAAUUGAUGAAAUCCUGAGAAAGAACACAGAGCUCGAGGGACAGAAUAAGAACUUAAACUACAAAUACAGUGAAAUCCUAAAAAAGAGCACAGAGCUUGAGGAACUUCAUAACAACUUAAAAUACAAAAACAAGAAAAUGCUCAAGGAAAACACAGAGCUCGAGGAAAUUAAUAACAACUUAAAAUACAAAAACAAGAAAAUGCUCAGGGAAAACACAGAGCUCGAGGAAAUUAAUAACAACUUAAAAUACAAAAAGAAGAAAAUGCUCAAAGAAAACACAGAGCUCGAGGAAAUUAAUAACAACUUAAAAUACAAAAACAAGAAAAUGCUCAAGGAAAACACAGAGCUCGAGGAAAUUAAUAACAACUUAAAAUACAAAAAGAAGAAAAUGCUCAAGGAAAACACAGAGCUCGAGGAAAUUAAUAACAACUUAAAAUACAAAAAGAAGAAAAUGCUCAAGGAAAACAAAGAGCUCGAGGAAAUUAAUAAGACUUUAAAGUGCAAAAACAAUGAAAUGCUCAGGGAAAACAAAGAGCUUGAGAAACUUAAUAGCAACUUAAAGUGCAAAAAAAAAUGAAAUUCUCAGGAAAAACAGAACUUAAUAACAACUUGAUGUCCAUACCAAGUGCUUCUGACCACUCCAACUGCCUGCAAAAUUAUUAUUUAAAAUUAUUUGGACAGUUUAAGUGUAUUAGUUGACAUCAAAGUGACUCUUUAAAUUGGCUAACAACAAACGAUUCAAACAAGCUAAUUUAUUUCACAUCCAAUGAGUCACUUUAAAAAUCCCACGACCGGUCGAGGCAGAUGGCCGUCCCUCACUGAGCCUGGUUCUGCCGGAGGUUUCUUGCUUUUAAAAGAAAGUUUUUCCUCCCCACUGUCGCCGAGUGCUUGCUCAGAGGGAAUUGUCAGAUUAUUGGGGUUUUAUUUAUUUAUUUGUCAACUAAUACACAACUCGAGGCUCGCAAAAUCUCUAGCCCGACGUCCCGGAGCUAGCGAUAUCUCCGGUCGGGCGACCAAAAUC